GGCAUUUCAGCGGAUGCUCCACCGCCGCCACGACGAAAAGGUUGGGGACCACUGCCUUAUGGUGUUAAUUCUCAUUGGAUGGCUUCAGGUAUUUACAGAUGAUCUCAGAGGAUGUCUAGUUUAUAAAUAUUACUCAGUCUUGCAAAUAGAUUUCAACAUAAUAUAAACCUUAAUUGAGGUUUGUUUCUGUUCUCUCAUCCUUGCACUCCUUUCCUAGAAGAGUUGCUAUAUUAAGGGGACAAAAUAUCUCUGCUGGACACACCUACCAGGAAUACAUUUGAUUCACUGCUUAGGUGACUGGCAGAAGAAUAUUUAAUACUGAAUUUUAGUAAGACUCCUGUUAUACUAUAAACCCUCAUAAGAAACAUACUGUACGUUAUCAGAUAUAUAUUUUUCUAAAUUGCCUUCCAUUCUUGUCUAUAGUAUUUGGAAGAAGUCUGUAUGAGAAAAGGGCUGGAUACUUGUUUUUCUGCAUGUGUGAUGUGAAUUAAUUUCUGAUGUCUGCUUACUUUCCCGGAGGAAAUAAGAACACACACAACUUCACACUUUCCUAAUCCCUAAAGUCACUGCAGUGUAAAUUUUAAGAAAUAUUACAAAUUUUUUCACAUGAUUCUCUGGAACAAUACUUCAUUUAGAAUCCUUUAUCCAAGAAAUUUAAAUCCUACCCAGAGGUCUGCAAACUAACUGCAUUUUGCAGAAUUUAGAUUCCAAACCAUUAAGUCUGCUUGUGUGUGGAAAAUCAAACCUUUGAUGUGUUCAGUUUUUGGAACCGUCACCUCUUGAAUGUAGAUUUAUAUUUGAUGUAAAUUUUACCCCUUACCAUUCAGAACAAUUAAAAUCCCAAGUAGUUGGGAGUAUUAUAUUAGCAAAAGGACACAGUUUUUCUUUUUCAUUAAGGAGCACAAUGCUCUGUCCAGCUUAAACAAGAAAACAAAAACCUCCAAGCUCUGAUCUCCAAAAUAAAUGUAAUGUUCACUGUGAAAUUUCAGGAAAGAGGCAGCAGUGAUAAAACAUAAUCAAAUGGUAAGCUUGGGAAUUAAGUCAAUUCAAAGGGCAAGUAUAAGUAACAGUAUUGUAUGUCUUGUUUUGAUCAAUCAAGCUGAAGUAGUACCCCCAAGGUGCUCCUGAAACCAGUGAGGCUGUUCACAUGAGCAAGGGCUGCAGGAUCAGUCCCUUGAACUGCCAACUCUGCAUGUCUAUACUCCAUAAAGUAUUGAAUGUGUGCAUUCAUCAAUGUUCUAAUGGUAAUACGUUGAACAUAGUCUAGAAAUUGCACUAAUGUAAUGCAAUAGUUGACUUUUUUGGUUAAAAAUUUUGCAACAUGCAGAGCAUGUUUGUAGGAAAACUUGCAAUGAUUUUUCUGCAAGCAUUUAACCCUUUUUUACAUCUAUCCCUGUAAAAUAAGUGUAUACAUUGUGUUAACUUUGUUGUAACUGGUAACUUUUACAUGUAUUUUUUGUACUGUGAAUGACUUAUUUGAUAGAGGAAAAAAAAGUUAGGCCUAGUUAAUUUUGUGAGCAAUGGUAACAGGAGCUAUCUAGUUAUUGGUUUGCUGCACUAGCUAAGAAUUGUACUGAUAAUAAAGUAGUGCUGUGUGUUGACAGAUUAAAAUUCAGUAAGUAAUCUGAGGUCUCAGCCUCAUGGAAAUUUUUAAUCUGUAGUUCUCUAAUGGGAGAACAUUCCAAAAUGUGAGUGCUUGAUAUGGAAUGUGCAACUUGUGUAUUAAAAUAUUUUCAGAAAUAUUAAAUGCUUUUUUUCAUAUUUUGUUAGUGUCAGGCUGUUUAUUAAACCACGAUCUCCAACCUACAUCUACAUUUAUAAGAAAGUCUUUUUACAAUACAGUCUGAAGAUGAAGUUGUCCAUUCCACUUCUUGUCCGGCUGAGCCUUGUUGCUUGUACAACUGGCUGUGACUUUCUAUGCAAUGCAUAAAAAACUUGUUUUACAUAUGGGUAUUACAGAAUGUAUAGAAAAAAGGCAUGCCACUGUGUAAUGAAUGAGUUCCUUGAUAGCAGACAAAAAAUACUCCCAUAACUUAAAUUCCUUUGACAGCAUCAGAAAUUCCUGUAACUUCCCAACUUAGUCUUUUUUUUUUUUUUUUUAUUUAUUACAGGGUAUGUGGGAGGGACUUGGUUGAGGAAUGACAAUUGCCAAGGAGAGAGAUUAGUACCACAAGAUAUUCUGCUUCAAAGUUCUAGGGUAUGGAGUUGCGUGCCACACACCACAGCAUGUUAAUGUUUCUGAAACUGCUGACUACAAAUGCUUAUGUAAAAACAGGCAUUUGCUGCCUAUUUAUAUGCCCCAUAAAGGACCAACGUUUCUUGGAAUAUAGGCUAUCUUUUAGUUGUUGGUUUUUUUUUUUAAAAGGCUGUAAUUAUCCAAGGACAUCACUUCUGACAUCGCUAACUACUGUUCAUCCUUUGUUCUUAUCCUGUAUUAGUUUUUGCUCACAAAAUAUGGUUAUUUAUGCUUUGUGCCAGAACAAUUCGCCUUUCUGUCCUUACUAACUUUUUAAAGAGAAAUGGGUGAACACUUGAUUACAACACUGUAGCGCAGAAAUUGUCAGGUAGUCGCUGUGACAGUGCUGACCAUUGUCGUGUAAUAGUUUGGCUACUUUAAACUUUUCUUAUUUGUAACGUUCACUGUCACAUAAAUUAUGCUCUUCAAAAAGAAGUUCAGGUGGAAAGCCGCUUUGUCCAACUUUCAGUCAUAAAUUUAGAGUGCUGUACAUAAAGAAUAGAAAAAUCAUUACUGGUAAGCAUAAUUUCAUGUUGGAUUCAUGUACUGAAAGUUUUUUUUUUAAUAAUUGUAAUUGUUUCACUGUUACAAAGCAUGAUGAAGAAUUAUUGUUAUAUUAAUUCAAGAAGCUAGCUGUUAAAGGUCUAGCUAAAACUUCGGUGAAACAAAGAUGUUGAGUAUUAAGUAAGGUAUAGCACUGGUUACAGACAGUACAUACUUUACCCUUCGUUUGUUUUAAGUAUCUUUUCAUAAAACAAAUCUAAUAAACUAAUGAUCAGUAGCAACUGUACAAAGGAAUUACAAUCAGGCAGCUUUUACAGUGUAGACUCUAGCCUUCUCCUUAAUCUGCUGGAUAUUAGUGACACUAAUUUCUUGAGCAGUUUUAAACUAAAUAUUAGGUGAGGUCUAGUGGAAUUCUGUACUUGAUAACUAAUUCUUGUUUUGUGGUUGCCUUGGACUGUUUGCAGCAGAGGGGUUUUGUAGACAGUGGUUGUCAACCUUUUUUCAUUUGUGGACCCCUAAAAAUUUUUGAAUGGGAGGUGUGGACCCCUGAGAAAUCUUAGACAUAGUCUGCGGAUCCCCAAAGGUCUGCGGACAAUAGGUUGAAAACCACUGUUGUAGACUGGCUUUGCAAGUCACAGAAGCUUCUGUCUGUUUCUUUCUCAGUUAAUACUUUUGGCGUUUUAUCUGCCUGUUUUUUGGUGAAGAAAGCAACAUCCAAAAAUCUUACUAUACAUUCUGGUUCUAACAGAAAAAUGUAACAUAUUCUACAAUUAGCUUUUUCUCUGAUUUUUAUUUAAAAUGUAUCUUCAGAGGUGGAACUAACAAUGCCUAAGUCUAUUUUUAAAAUUGGUUUGGGGACUGUCUUUUCAUGCUUGCUGUAGGCCUGAAGCUGACUUGUGCACCCAUUUAACAUGGGGAGAACUAAAAUGGUUAGACAAGACUGAAGGCUGUCAUUAUUUCAAUUUGGAAAAAUAGGCAGUCCCAUUAGACAGUGUUGGGGGGUGGGAUAUUGGACAGAAAAAUAUUGAAAAUAUAAAAGAUACAGUGUCCCCUAACCUAAAGUACUGUUUGGGUCUGGCCACCCUAUCAGUGGCUAUAGCAGAAAUGGGAAUUCAGCAUAAGGGAAUAAGUCCUCAUUGGUAGAGAAAAACUUCCAUGUGAAGAGAGCCCCAAUCUUUCAGUCUAUUUGAAAGGUUGAUGAAAGUCAAAGGAUAGAAAUACAAAAUUGUGCUAUAGAAAAAGAGGUAAAUCAGGGCUCUUAUUUAUCCUCCUAGCAUAAAAGAUCAAAGGGACAUUGUGAAACUCAAUGCCAUAUCUUGUGGAGGCUUAUGAGGAUUCAAGAAAGGAUUAGACAUUUGUGGAAUAAAAAUAAUCUACAGUUACACUAGGUAGGGUACAAAAUUGGAAAGAAUAUAAACUCACCUUUCAAGACACACUAACCACCUUCCUGCUAAGGACUAAAAGGAAACUUCCCCUCUGCGUAGUUAUUGUAUAAUUGUCUGAACCUUUGUCUGAGGCAUCAAAACGCUGCCGUUGAAAACAGGAUAAUGAAAUAGAUGGCCUACUACCCUGAUCUAGUAUGGCAGUUACUAUGUUCUUAAGACUGCAAAAAGGCAAAAAAAUGUAAGUUUUAGCAGCCACCAAAUAAGUUUCCAGUAGCAGAGCAUAAAAUGAAAAGCUUGUCCUGUUUAUAGAAUAGUCAGUAAGUUGUGACUAGCGAAAUCUUGAUCUUCAGCACAGCAUCAAUUUAACUCAAAGCAAUUGGUUAAAGGUUAAUUUAUUGCCAAGAGCCCAAAACAGAGCAGGUUUUGAAAUAUGUUUAGGCCACUUGUAAACUAGCCUUUGCUAUAACUCCAGAUGGCUUAAAUCUUUAACAAGUUUUUAAGCCAGUUAGAAUUUGGGGGAAAUUUCACCAUUGCCUGACAACGCCUGAAAAAGAUGCUAUCAGAGACAAGAGGAUUGAUAGAAGGGAACUAACUCAAAUGUAUGUUAGAAGAUAAACAGAACUCCACCUCACCAGGUCUCAGAAAGGAGUUUGAUCUGGGAAACCUUUGUAAUAGGGAUAUCUCUGGGCCUGUAAAAGGGAACAGAACUACUGCUAGAACGUCCAAGAUGUAUGUAAAAUCACUGCCUGGCAAGCCCUGGAAUUUUAUCUAAUUUAGGAUUUCAUCUCAUGAAUAACUAGAUCCAGUCUAGAAACCAACUUCUCACAGGCUUUGAGGGAUUCCUAUUGGCAGGAAACUUUUAAACUUGCUUCAAAGAAUAAGUGAAUCUGAAGAUUUGUGACUGUUGAAGCUAAAACUGCCCAGUCUCAAAACUACAUACUCCUGGCUCCUAUGGAAAGAUCGGCCUGAUCUUGUUUAGCUUUAAAGUAAUCUCGAAUAGUCUCCUCAGCUCACUUUUGUUCCUCUUCAGCCUUAAGAAUAUCCUGUUCAGCAAUAUGGUCCUUUAAAAGAAGAAAGUGUCCAGUUGUAUUUACUGACAAGCCUCUAAAUCUCAGUAAAGAGACGAUGGUCAUACUGUGUCAACUGAGAGCGGUCUCUACGUAUUUGAGGGCAGACAGUGUCCCAUAGUCAUAACACACAUCCUUGCCAGUACUCAGGAUAAUUUGGUCUGGCGAGCCAUGGGGCCAGCAUUCGUAUAGAACAUCGCACUCUUAAAGCUAGCAUAACUAGACAUCUGGGACUUCUUCCAGCAUUGGAGAACCCCCAAGUACCAUAGGGGUGGAAUAGCAGCUCCUUUGCCACCUCCUCCCAAACCUUCAAGACCAGGAGCUGUGAAGAGUGGAAAGGAGAUGUAUCCUGAGCCUUGGCAAUCCCAACAAGCCCCAGGCCAUUGGCAGCUACUGUAACUUAGCUCAGCCCUGAGCCUGCUCAUUGGGGAUCAGACCGGCAACUCAAGGAUCAGGGGCAUGAAACUACUGUCCACCUUUGUGCUUAUCUCUCCACCCAAGCUGUGGUGACCAGCAGUGGUACCAAGGAUCUGGCUAAUGGUUCUUACUGAACAGCUAUAUUUAAACUGUUCUCAGUUCCCAUGAGUAGUUGUUUUAAACAUGAAUUGCCCCAGCUGCCUGUGUCAGUAGUGAAGCACCUGCACUGAGGCCUCUGGCUUUUCCUAGGAUGUCCCUUUGCUGCUUAGAGCACUUGUCUAAUUAGUGCUUUGCUCCCCUCUCUGCCUAAGUACAUGGAGAGCUAUCGCUGCCAAGGUGUUCAGCAGUUACCAGCUCUCAUGUUUUUUGAAAGUAGAGGGGCAUAUUUCAGACCUUAGCACUUUUUUUGUGUUCACACUGCAUUUGUGGCCACAACCUGGAUACCAAUAUUUGAAUAUCUAGCCUACUAACAGAAAAAUAUGAAAAAGUAGACUUUUAUUUCCAUAGGGCCCAACACAAAGUACCCUCUUUCUGAAAAGAGGCUAGAAUGCAUACAAUGCAUUUGGUAAAUCGCAAAUCAGCACUAAACAGCAGAUGCAGUUGACUGUAACAGAGAACAGCUGCUGUGCUGAGAGUGGGAUUGUCUAUUUAUAAUGGAAGAAACUGAUGAAGCAGUAAAGUAGUGUUUCAUACACUUAUAUCCUAAAAUUACAACACUAGGUACACCUUUUCCUAGGGGGAGUUAAGCUGCCACGCUCAUCAAGGUGAGAAUAUACAUUUGAUCUCCCCCCCCCCAUUAUUAGAAAGGGUGAUGAUCCACAACAUUAUUGCAUGGCCUACCACUGUGCAUGUUACCACCUUACUGAAAAUACUGCACCGACUUUAAAAAUAAAAGUGAAAUACAUGACAGAAUGGUAUAGAAGAAAUUACCUUAAACAGCAAACUCAGAGCCUGAUUUAAAAUAGCAGUUGUAAGUGCAUGGCUUCUCUCACGUUUAAGUCUAGAAUUGUGAUCCAGCAAUAUCUAUCAAGUUAGGCUUUUGUGUCAACCCAGUGAGUGAUUUGGGAAAAGGGGGAGCUUGAACUAAUAAUAGUAAUAACCUAUAAGAUAAAUAGCCUGUGCAUACAGAGAGAUUUUUUUUAUUUAGAGGGUCAUAUUUAGUUAAGUAUGCUUAUUAGUUAUAGUGUAUGUAUUCAAAUCAUUAUUUUUAUUAUAUACAUAUAUUUAAUGUUGUAGGUAGGUGGAAUGCAUUUGUUCUGAUUUUAAAUAAAAUCCCAAUAUUUUUGAA